rnacentral:rRNA from 1 species
CCAGACUCCUACGGGAGGCAGCAGUGAGGAAUAUUGGUCAAUGGACGUAAGUCUGAACCAGCCAAGUAGCGUGCAGGAUUGACGGCCCUAUGGGUUGUAAACUGCUUUUGUUGGGGAGUAAAGUGGGGCACGCGUGCCUUUUUGCAUUUACCCUUCGAAUAAGGACCGGCUAAUUCCGUGCCAGCAGCCGCGGUAAUACGGAAGGUCCAGGCGUUAUCCGGAUUUAUUGGGUUUAAAGGGAGCGUAGGCCGGGGAUUAAGUGUGUUGUGAAAUGUAGACGCUCAACGUCUGACUUGCAGCGCAUACUGGUUCCCUUGAGUACGCACAACGUCGGCGGAAUUCGUCGUGUAGCGGUGAAAUGCUUAGAUAUGACGAAGAACUCCGAUUGCGAAGGCAGCUGACGGGAGCGCAACUGACGCUUAAGCUCGAAGGUGCGGGUAUCGAACAGGAUUAGAUACCCUGGUAGUCCGCACGGUAAACGAUGGAUGCCCGCUGUUGGUACCUGGUAUCAGCGGCUAAGCGAAAGCAUUAAGCAUCCCACCUGGGGAGUACGCCGGCAACGGUGAAACUCAAAGGAAUUGACGGGGGCCCGCACAAG